AUCUGCAACCAUAGGAUCAUGAAAGCACCGCAUCCCGUCCGAUCUGCGAAGUUAACCAUGAUACCGGCUUGGAAGUACUGCGGUGGGGGACCACGCGGGAAUGCGAGCUGUUGCAGUU
rnacentral:rRNA from 1 species